GGUCUUCGGAUUGUAAAGCUCUGUUGUUAGGGAAGAACAAGUGCGGUUCGAAUAGGGCCGUACCUUGACGGUACCUAACGAGAAAGCCACGGCUAACUACGUGCCAGCAGCCGCGGUAAUACGUAGGUGGCAAGCGUUGUCCGGAAUUAUUGGGCGUAAAGCGCGCGCAGGCGGUUCCUUAAGUCUGAUGUGAAAGCCCACGGCUCAACCGUGGAGGGUCAUUGGAAACUGGGGGACUUGAGUGCAGAAGAGGAGAGCGGAAUUCCACGUGUAGCGGUGAAAUGCGUAGAGAUGUGGAGGAACACCAGUGGCGAAGGCGGCUCUCUGGUCUGUAACUGACGCUGAGGCGCGAAAGCGUGGGGAGCAAACAGGAUUAGAUACCCUGGUAGUCCACGCCGUAAACGAUGAGUGCUAAGUGUUAGAGGGUAUCCACCCUUUAGUGCUGUAGCUAACGCAUUAAGCACUCCGCCUGGGGAGU
rnacentral:rRNA from 1 species